rnacentral:lncRNA from 1 species
CAUUUCUUGGUUAGUUAUUAUCCUUUAUUUAUUUUGUUUUACUUAUGGGUAGUGAAGUUUCUGUUUGUCUAUUGUAAUCACACUACAAAUAUCAGUCUUCCUUAUAGUGGCUAAAAGUUUAUCUCUAGUUUUGGCUUCUUAUUGACUUUGAGAUAAUUUAUUAUUGUGUAUUCUGAUGCAUAUCAUGUGUGCAUGUGUGCUAUAUCCACUAGGGAUUCCUCUAGCUUAUAUUAGUGAAUUUAGUUGACGUUAUUCUGUAUUCUAAUUUUCAAAACUUGGUCACUGGAUAUGAGAAUCUUUGUCAUUACUAGAUCUUUCAAAAUUCAAAAAUUAAAAGUUUUAGAGUAAGACUUCCACUAGUUCUAACCAAACAUUUUGUGGUCUUUACAAUUGAUUUGGCUUCCAAUAAUGAUGAUGCUAAGGUAAUUGUUUCUUCAUGUAUCUUCUUACCAAUAUAGACUGAAAUUUUUGUGGAUAGAGCAUUAAUUUUGCACACAUUUUUGGCAUUGCCUUGAGGAGUCAUGGCUUCAAAGAUUAUUCAAUGUAUUGCCGUUGGAAGAGGGUAUUGCUUCUAGAAGUCUUGUUGUUGGAAUAUUUCCAUUAAUCUUUGGAAGUUUUGUUGAGGAGCUUGGCUUAGUGUCUAGAAUUUGAAUUACAUUUCUUGGAGUUUAAUUGGAAUUUAACUAUUGUUUUAUAUUUUGACAUUUUUUUUAAUUUGGGAUGUUUUAUUAUGUAUUAAUGGUAAUGACAUUGAAUACUAGAUGUAUUCAUUUUGAAAUUAAUUUGUUGGAUUGAAUGGAU